rnacentral:piRNA from 1 species
UCUUGCAAUAGGCAUAAAAGGGAAAGAGA